UGGGGAAUAUUGGGCAAUGGGGGCAACCCUGAUCCAGCCAUGCCGCGUGAGUGAUGAAGGCCUUCGGGUUGUAAAGCUCUUUCGCACGCGACGAUGAUGACGGUAGCGUGAGAAGAAGCCCCGGCUAACUUCGUGCCAGCAGCCGCGGUAAUACGAAGGGGGCUAGCGUUGUUCGGAAUUACUGGGCGUAAAGGGCGCGUAGGCGGCGCAUCAAGUCAGAUGUGAAAGCCCCGGGCUUAACCUGGGAACGCAUUUGAGACUGGUGUGCUUGAGUCCCGGAGAGGUGGGUGGAAUUCCCAGUGUAGAGGUGAAAUUCGUAGAUAUUGGGAAGAACACCGGUGGCGAAGGCGGCCCCACUGGACGGAUACUGACGCUGAGGCGCGAAAGCGUGGGGAGCAAACAGGAUUAGAUACCCUGGUAGUCCACGCCGUAAACGAUGUCGGCUAGACGUUGGGGCCCUUGGGCUUCGGUGUCGCAGCUAACGCAUUAAGCCGACGCCUGGGGAG
rnacentral:rRNA from 1 species